rfam:Medicago truncatula strain A17 chromosome 4, whole genome shotgun sequence.
UGCCGAAGUUUUCCUCGGCAGUUAACUGCAAUCGGUUUCUUCAGAAUUCGAAAGUUAACUGCCGAGAGGUAU